rnacentral:misc_RNA from 1 species
AGUCGUAACAAGGUUUCCGUAGGUGAACCUGCGGAAGGAUCAUUACUAAAUCCAUCCAUGAUCGAACCAUGUCGAAACGUGUUUUUGUGGCGGCAGCGGAGAGCGAGUGAGCGAGCAAGCAGUUUAAUAGACUGUGCGCGAGCGCACCACACGACGCAACGCCCAAAAAUAUUAUAUAUCACAACCUAUAACAUCGCGAUGUACCACAAUGACAGUAUUACAUAUUAUAAUAUUAUAAAGCAUAACUUUUAACAAUGGAUCUCUUGGCUCUU